GUCGAGGGGUAACAGGAGUAGCUUGCUACUUGCUGACGACCGGCGCACGGGUGCGUAACGCGUAUAGAAUCUACCUUAUACUGGGGGAUAGCCUUUGGAAACGAAGAUUAAUACCCCAUAGUAUUAUUUUUUGGCAUCAUUAAAUAAUUAAAGUUUCGRCGGUAUAAGAUGACUAUGCGUUCUAUUAGUUAGUUGGUAAGGURACGGCUUACCAAGACUUCGAUAGAUAGGGGUCCUGAGAGGGAGAUCCCCCACACUGGUACUGAGACACGGACCAGACUCCUACGGGAGGCAGCAGUGAGGAAUAUUGGACAAUGGAGGCAACUCUGAUCCAGCCAUGCCGCGUGUAGGAAGACUGCCCUAUGGGUUGUAAACUACUUUUAUAUGGGAAGAAUAAGGUCUACGUGUAGAUNGAUGACGGUACCAUAAGAAUAAGCACCGGCUAACUCCGUGCCAGCAGCCGCGGUAAUACGGAGGGUGCAAGCGUUAUCCGGAAUCAUUGGGUUUAAAGGGUCCGUAGGCGGGCAUAUAAGUCAGUGGUGAAAGUCUGUGGCUUAACCAUAGAAUUGCCAUUGAUACUGUAUGUCUUGAAUUAUUGUGAAGUGGUUAGAAUAUGUAGUGUAGCGGUGAAAUGCUUAGAGAUUACAUAGAAUACCGAUUGCGAAGGCAGAUCACUAACAAUAUAUUGACGCUGAUGGACGAAAGCGUAGGUAGCGAACAGGAUUAGAUACCCUGGUAGUCUACGCCGUAAACGAUGGAUACUAGUUGUUUGGUUUUCGGACUGAGUGACUAAGCGAAAGUGAUAAGUAUCCCACCUGGGGAGUACGUUCGCAAGAAUGAAACUCAAAGGAAUUGACGGGGGCCCGCACNAGCGGUGGAGCAUGUGGUUUAAUUCGAUGAUACGCGAGGAACCUUACCAGGGCUUAAAUGUAGUCUGACAGCUUUAGAGAUAGAGUUUUCUUCGGACAGAUUACAAGGUGCUGCAUGGUUGUCGUCAGCUCGUGCCGUGAGGUGUCAGGUUAAGUCCUAUAACGAGCGCAACCCCUGUGGUUAGUUGCCAGCGAGUAAUGUCGGGAACUCUAGCCAGACUGCCGGUGCAAACCGUGAGGAAGGUGGGGAUGACGUCAAAUCAUCACGGCCCUUACGUCCUGGGCCACACACGUGCUACAAUGGUAGGGACAGAGAGCAGCCACUUAGCGAUAAGGAGCGAAUCUAUAAACCCUAUCUCAGUUCGGAUUGGAGUCUGCAACUCGACUCCAUGAAGCUGGAAUCGCUAGUAAUCGGAUAUCAGCCAUGAUCCGGUGAAUACGUUCCCGGGCCUUGUACACACCGCCCGUCAAGCCAUGGAAGCUGGGGGUACCUGAAGUCCGUCACCGUAAG
rnacentral:rRNA from 1 species